GCGUUGUUCGGAAUGACUGGGCGUAAAGGGCGCGUAGGCGGUUUUUUAAGUGAGGCGUGAAAGCCCUGGGCUUAACCUAGGAGGUGCGUUUCAUACUGGAAGACUUGAGUACGAGAGAGGAAAGUGGAAUUCCUAGUGUAGAGGUGAAAUUCGUAGAUAUUAGGAAGAACACCAGUGGCGAAGGCGACUUUCUGGCUCGUAACUGACGCUGAGGCGCGAAAGCGUGGGGAGCAAACAGG
rnacentral:rRNA from 1 species